rnacentral:rRNA from 1 species
CCUACGGGAGGCAGCAGUGGGGAAUAUUGGACAAUGGGGGAAACCCUUAUCCAGCGACGCCGCGUGAGGGAAGAAGGUUUUCGGAUUGUAAACCUCUGUCAGUGGGGACGAUAAUGACGGUACCCACGGAGGAAGCCACGGCUAACUACGUGCCAGCAGCCGCGGUAAUACGUAGGUGGCAAGCGUUGUCCGGAAUUACUGGGUUUAAAGGGUGCGUAGGCGGACAGUCAAGUCAGCGGUAAAAAUGCGGUGCUCAACGCCGUACAGCCGUUGAAACUGACAGUCUUGAGUGGGCGAGAAGUAUGCGGAAUGCGUGGUGUAGCGGUGAAAUGCAUAGAUAUCACGCAGAACUCCGAUUGCGAAGGCAGCAUACCGGCGCCCGACUGACGCUGAGGCACGAAAGCGUGGGUAUCGAACAGGAUUAGAUACCCCUGUAGUC